rnacentral:rRNA from 1 species
ACUCCUACGGGAGGCAGCAGUGGGAAUAUUGCACAAUGGGAAGGCCAUCGAUGCAGCCAUGCCGCGCUGUGUGAAGAAGGCCAAUUCGGGCUUUGGUUAAAGACACUUUCAGUAGGGAGGAAGGUAGUGUAGUUAACACCUGCAUUAUUUGACGUUACCUACAGAAGAAGCACCGGCUAACUCCGUGCCAGCAGCCGCGGUAAUACGGAGGGUGCGAGCGUUAAUCGGAAUUACUGGGCGUAAAGCGCAUGCAGGUGGUUUGUUAAGUCAGAUGUGAAAGCCCGGGCUC